rnacentral:rRNA from 1 species
UACGUAGGGUGCAAGCGUUGUCCGGAAUUAUUGGGCGUAAAGGGCUCGUAGGCGGUCCAUCGCGUCGGGAGUGAAAAGCUGGGGCUUAACCCUGAGCUUGCGGUCGAUACGGGCAUGACUGGAGUUCGGCAGGGGAGACUGGAAUUCCUGGUGUAGCGGUGAAAUGCGCAGAUAUCAGGAGGAACACCGGUGGCGAAGGCGGGUCUCUGGGCCGAUACUGACGCUGAGGAGCGAAAGCGUGGGGAGCGAACAGG